rnacentral:tRNA from 1 species
UCCCCGAUAGCUCAAUGGCAGAGCAGCCGGCUGUUAACCGGCAGGUUGUUGGUUCGAAUCCAACUCGGGGAG